CAGUUGCCAAGAAGGAACGUGGUUCUAGAGCUCUAGUUGAUUGGUGGACUUCUUUUGGGGGUUCAACUCCCCAUUUGAAAGAAUUCGCAAUUAAGAUUCUUAGUCUCACGACUAGUGCGUCUGGAUGUGAACGGAACUGGAGUGUCUUUGAGCAUUUGCAUUAAAAAAGGAUGAGUCGCCUUGAACACAUG